rnacentral:rRNA from 1 species
UGAGGAAUAUUGGUCAAUGGACGAGAGUCUGAACCAGCCAAGUAGCGUGAAGGAUGACUGCCCUAUGGGUUGUAAACUUCUUUUAUAUGGGAAUAAAAUGUUCCACGUGUGGGUUUUUGUAUGUACCAUAUGAAUAGGGAUCGGCUAAUCCCUUGCCAGCAGCCGCGGUAAUACGGAGGAUCCGAGCGUUAUCCGGAUUUAUUGGGUUUAAAGGGAGCGUAGGUGGAUUGUUAAGUCAGUUGUGAAAGUUUGCGGCUCAACCGUAAAAUUGCAGUUGAAACUGGCAGUCUUGAGUACAGUAGAGGUGGGCGGAAUUCGUGGUGUAGCGGUGAAAUGCUUAGAUAUCACGAAGAACUCCGAUUGCGAAGGCAGCUCACUGGACUGAAACUGACACUGAGGCUCGAAAGUGUGGGUAUCAAACAGG